UUGGGUUUAAGGGUCCGUAGGCGGGCCGAUAAGUCAGUGGUGAAAUCUCAUAGCUUAACUAUGAAACUGCCAUUGAUACUGUCGGUCUUGAGUAAAUUAGAGGUAGCUGGAAUAAGUAGUGUAGCGGUGAAAUGCAUAGAUAUUACUUAGAACACCAAUUGCGAAGGCAGGUUACCAUGAUUUAACUGACGCUGAGGGACGAAAGCGUGGGGAGCGAACAGGAUUAGAUACCCUGGUAGUCCACGCCGUAAACGAUGCUAACUCGUUUUUGGGGCGCAAGCUUCAGAGACCAAGCGAAAGUGAUAAGUUAGCCACCUGGGGAGUACGUUCGCAAGAAUGAAACUCAAAGGAAUUGACGGGGGCCCGCACAAGCGGUGGAUUAUGUGGUUUAAUUCGAUGAUACGCGAGGAACCUUACCAAGGCUUAAAUGGGAAAUGACAGAUUUAGAAAUAGAUCCUUCUUCGGACAUUUUUCAAGGUGCUGCAUGGUUGUCGUCAGCUCGUGCCGUGAGGUGUUAGGUUAAGUCCUGCAACGAGCGCAACCCCUGUCACUAGUUGCUAACAUUAAGUUGAGGACUCUAGUGAGACUGCCUACGCAAGUAGAGAGGAAGGUGGGGAUGACGUCAAAUCAUCACGGCC
rnacentral:rRNA from 1 species